GUACCAUUACCGCUGAAUCAAUUGACGAGCCGCUUUGGCUGCAGCGAACUUGUCUUCAUGAGGGCUCAAAACCUCCAUCGAUGACGACUGCUGUUUUGCCAGGGAGCCAUGAACCUGAACUCGAAGGUUGUCGUGGGCGAGUGGUCAGGGCGAUAGACUAGAAUCCAUUGGGGGUCUCCCUGCGCAAUUCCAAAUUGGUCUGUUCUUUAGAUAGGUCUCUUUUUUCCCUUCGAAUGUUGGAACAUAAGCAAGCGAUGGUGGUAUAGUGGUGAGCAUAGCUGCCUUCCAAGCAGUUGACCCGGGUUCGAUUCCCGGCCAUCGCAGGUGUUUUCCUCUGUAUCACUUACACUAUCUAAAAGUGUUUAGGUUCAAACCGCCAGUCGGUCUUUCGUCGGUGACAGGUUUGCGAAUACCAAUGGGGGAAUGGCCUUUCACGUGUCCGAAGCGUGUUGAUCCUUAUUGCCAUUUUCCAGUGAUGACCCCCUUUUGUGCAUAGUUUCAUUCCAAGUAGGUAUUUCAUUCGCUUAUUUAGGCUGGAGGCUUAGUCCAAAAAAUGUACCAUUACCGCUGAAUCAAUUGACGAGCCGCUUUGGCUGCAGCGAACUUGUCUUCAUGAGGGCUCAAAACCUCCAUCGAUGACGACUGCUGUUUUGCCAGGGAGCCAUGAACCUGAACUCGAAGGUUGUCGUGGGCGAGUGGUCAGGGCGAUAGACUAGAAUCCAUUGGGGGUCUCCCUGCGCAAUUCCAAAUUGGUCUGUUCUUUAGAUAGGUCUCUUUUUUCCCUUCCAAUGUUUGAACAUAAGCAAGCGAUGGUGGUAUAGUGGUGAGCAUAGCUGCCUUCCAAGCAGUUGACCCG
ensembl:lncRNA